GGCUCGGGGGGCUGCGGGCCGGGGGGCGGCGGGGGUCCCGCCCGCGACUCGAGUGGAGAGGGAAGGAGGGAGCUGCGGGGGGGGGGCCGGCCCGCGAGGCGGCUUCCUCCCGCCGCCCGCUCCCUCCGGGCCUCCCGGCUGAGUAACGCCCGCAAACGAUAAGCCCUGUCGGUGGUCACGGCGUCACUCGGCGCGUCAGCUGUGACGCCGAGCCCGGUGCGGCGCCGAGCCCUUGGGAGGCAGCGCUGCAAUGUUCGGGUUUUCCCAUUUUCCCUGUUUUUUUUCCCACGUCCUGCGAGCAGCCCUCAAACGGAGCGGUCCCGAUAAGCGCCACCCCUUAAACCCCGCGGUACAGGGUAAAAACCCCCUCCGUUACCCGUUUGCAGACGGGCAAGCCUCGCAGAGGAUCCCGGAGAGCCGUGCAACCGCGGUGGGAAACCGUGGGCGCCCGGCCUUGGGGCUUCUCACCUUUUUCUCUCCUCCAAGGCGCUGCUUCAGGAGCCCAGCAGUGCCCGUGGGGCCACCUCCCCUCUCGCUGCGAGCGGGGUUAGCUCCAGAGCAGAGCGUCAGACGUCGUCGCCUUGGGCCCUCAAAGCACCGCAAGGAGAGGCGGCGUAGGUCCGGCUGUCCGUGACGGCCGGCGAAGAGCUGAACGUGGCCAGCGGCGCGUUGAGCUGGAGGAGGCCGCUGUGGGGAGAGCGUCGCUUCCGUCAGCCGAGCCCUUCUGCGGUGCUCCCGCGUCCGUGCCGGCACCUGGCGGACGGAGCGCACGGAAUUUGUCCAGAAACCAGAAAGGGGACUGGGUUUGGACAACCUCACUGCCUUUGCAGCCCAGCUUUUUCCCCGUGAAGGGGCAUGGGGCCGCAGGUUACAUCAGCAGGGCUUUCUGAAGCCAGACACACUGCUCUUUCCCUCCCCGGUGCCCCACUGCUACCCGGUGCUGGAGGCGCGCCUCCGUGCCACAAGGCUCAGCACGGCUUCGC